rnacentral:rRNA from 1 species
ACGGGAGGCAGCAGUGGGGAAUAUUGCACAAUGGGGGAAACCCUGAUGCAGCGACGCCGCGUGAGUGAAGAAGUAUUUCGGUAUGUAAAGCUCUAUCAGCAGGGAAGAUAAUGACGGUACCUGACUAAGAAGCCCCGGCUAACUACGUGCCAGCAGCCGCGGUAAUACGUAGGGGGCAAGCGUUAUCCGGAUUUACUGGGUGUAAAGGGAGCGCAGGUGGUUCGGCAAGUCAGAAGUGAAAAUCCGGGGCUCAACCACGGAACUGCUUUUGAAACUGUCGGACUUGAGUGCUGGAGAGGUAAGUGGAAUUCCCAGUGUAGCGGUGAAAUGCGUAGAUAUUAGGAGGAACACCAGUGGCGAAGGCGGCUUACUGGACAGCAACUGACACUGAGGCUCGAAAGCGUGGGGAGCAAACAGGAUUAGAUACCCUGGUA